AUUAACUCACAAACUGAAUAAAAGUCCGAAGGACUUUUAUGUCAAGUUUGUGAGUAAGAGACCCGGUUUACACAUCAAUAACCUCUAGAAAAAAUGUGUUUAAUCCUUAUAAUUCUUCAGCCAAACAUACACGAUUAUUAAUUUACAUUAUUUGUUUGAUGGCUGCUAUAUUUACCAUCAAAAGCACAAUGGCAUGUCGUAACUAAGGAGUACGCCGCCAUCUUGACUUUCUUAAACAAUAAAUGUCCGACAGAUGCA
rnacentral:lncRNA from 1 species